GGACUUCGGUCCACGUGCUGGUCUCCAGGCCACUAAACAAACUGCACCUUACCAUAUUUCGGUAGUGAAUCAGUAGUUUCCUGAUAACCAAUAUGUAUGUAUGUCGUAAUGGUGUGAUGAGCUCCUACACACACACACACACUACCCUGGGUUACUAAUAACUAGAUAAUAAUUCUGUCCCAGGAAAGCAGUUCAAUUGGUAAUAUUAUAAAUGUCCCUGAUUGUGUUGAUCAAACAAACAUUGUGGAAUCCGUGGCCCGGACUGGUUUCGAAAUCUCUGUUCCCAAAAAGGUGCUUUCGGCUUUUGCCGGGGGUAGUAGUGAUACUCUGGAAGCACUAGACCAGCACAGUGCUGGAGCGAGAAAGGGUCGUACUCGCAGCCUUCCUGGGUGCCCCAGGCGACCUUCAUCAAAAGGCGGGGCCGGGGGUGAGUGGUGGAGGGGGAAAAGUCCGCAUCUUGGUCUCUCGAGACUGUUUUGAUUUUACACCACAAUUCCAAACAAAAACAAAAACAAAAAAGCCAAAAAACUAGAUUCACUCAGGGACCUAAUGAGAGGCAGGAGACGAUCUUCCAGCCUAAGACCCAGAGAAAAGCUCUGCCCAUAGUCAACCAAGCCCUCUGUGGAGGGGCUGCGAAGUCACCCCUUCGGUCCCUUAGAAAUUCUCCAGACUCCAACCGCAGCUCCCGGCUCCCUGGCGAGGAAGCCCGAGCCCGGAGCUCCCUCAGGGCGCGCAGAAAAGGCCGGGGUGGGGGUGGGGGAGUUUCAAAACCGUUAGCUCGCGUUGUGUUUUUUUUUUUUUUUAUUUUCCCCUCCCUCGCUAAGGUUUCUUUUCUUUUCUCUUCCUGUCCAAAUAUUUCAAAUUUCCGCGCCUUAAAUAACAGUCUCUUUUUAUUUAGUUAGUUUCCUCAGCAGGUUUGGCCGCCCGCUUGUCUCUGCCCCCCAGCGGGCCAGGGGCGCCUCGGGCUCCUGGCCGCUGCCCCCGGCCCAGGCUACGCGGCUCAGUGCGCGCCCGGACGCUUGUCUGCUCCCAGCUCGACUUCCCUCCCCGGACUUUGGAGUCUCUUCUUCUGCUUUGGGGUUUGGAUCCUGGUCGCCCUGGAGCGGCGGAAGGUCUGGGGCGCAAGGAGAGCAGCGGAGGAGGCCAGUGGCGGAGCCUGCCCCAGCCCCCACCCCGCGGGUAACCUUGGAGGCGCCCUCGGAGUGAGUGUGAGCGCUGCUGCGCCAGCCGGCCGGGGCGAGCGGGCGCACGGCGCCGCAGGCAGGAGGCGGGAGCUGGGGGCGGGGAGGGGGAGCGGCCCCGGUGCCUCGCGGCCGCCGCCGCGGCGCCCCGGGUGCUGCGGGCUACCGGGACCGCUGAGGUCUCCCGGCCCUGGCCCUC
rnacentral:lncRNA from 1 species